GAGGGGUAUAGUUCUUCGGAGCUAGAGACCGGCGCACGGGUGCGUAACGCGUAUGCAAUCUACCUUUUACAGAGGGAUAGCCCAGAGAAAUUUGGAUUAAUACCUCAUAGUAUGUGAGAAUCGCAUGGUUUUCACAUUAAAGUUCCAACGGUAAAAGAUGAGCAUGCGUCCCAUUAGCUAGAUGGUAAGGUAACGGCUUACCAUGGCGACGAUGGGUAGGGGUCCUGAGAGGGAGAUCCCCCACACUGGUACUGAGACACGGACCAGACUCCUACGGGAGGCAGCAGUGAGGAAUAUUGGACAAUGGGCGCAAGCCUGAUCCAGCCAUGCCGCGUGCAGGAUGACGGUCCUAUGGAUUGUAAACUGCUUUUGUACAGGAAGAAACACUCCCUCGUGAGGGAGCUUGACGGUACUGUAAGAAUAAGGAUCGGCUAACUCCGUGCCAGCAGCCGCGGUAAUACGGAGGAUCCAAGCGUUAUCCGGAAUCAUUGGGUUUAAAGGGUCCGUAGGCGGUUUAAUAAAUCAGUGGUGAAAGCCCAUCGCUCAACGGUGGAACGGCCAUUGAUACUGUUAAACUUGAAUUAUUAGGAAGUAACUAGAAUAUGUAGUGUAGCGGUGAAAUGCUUAGAGAUUACAUGGAAUACCAAUUGCGAAGGCAGGUUACUACUAAUGGAUUGACGCUGAUGGACGAAAGCGUGGGUAGCGAACAGGAUUAGAUACCCUGGUAGUCCACGCCGUAAACGAUGGAUACUAGCUGUUGGGCGCAAGUUCAGUGGCUAAGCGAAAGUGAUAAGUAUCCCACCUG
rnacentral:rRNA from 1 species